rnacentral:rRNA from 1 species
UCUUAUGCACAUGCCUACAUUAUUAAUGCACUAGAUCCCAUCAGAACUUCGUAGUUAAGCGCGCUUGGGAUAGAGUAGUAUUGAGAUGGGUAACCUCUCAGGAAGUGUUAGUGUUUUACAUGCC